AGUCAACCUGAAGAUAGAGCACACCUCAUCAGCUAUCUGCGCAGAAAGUUUUCAGGCUCUGAGUGAGCCCUCUUCAUCGAAGAAGCUGUGGACUUCAAAGGCAGUCCAUCACGGUCUUUGAUAUUUGUCGAAUUGAAUUUUGGAAACUGCAGGGAACCUCAUUUCCAGUUCAAGCUCUGGGAUACCUUAGAAAGUCUUCCCAGCCAAGAAAAUUGUCAUGUGCCAUUAAUGAUCUACAUUUGAAGUUGAUCUUUGUUUCAAUACCAUUGGCCUACUUCUUUGGACUGUGAUCUUUGACCAAUUUCAUUUUGGGGAAUU